AACGCACAUUGCGCCCGCCAGUACUCUGGCGGGCAUGCCUGUCCGAGCGUCAUUUCAACCCUCAGGGCUCUCCGGCACUGCUCGGAGGGCGCUGGUGUUGGGGAUCGGCUGUCCCAGCGGCUGCCGUCCCCUAAACGUAGUGGCGGUCUCACUGUGACCUCCCCUGUGCAGUACUUCGCUCGCAGAGGGAUAGCGGUGCGGCCACGCCGUAAAACGCCCAACUCUUCAAGGUUGACCUCGGAUCAGGUAGGACUACCCGCUGAACUUAA
rnacentral:misc_RNA from 1 species